rnacentral:rRNA from 1 species
AUAUUGGACAAUGGGCGAAAGCCUGAUCCAGCCAUGCAGCGUGUGUGAAGAAGGUCUUCGGAUUGUAAAGCACUUUAAGUUGGGAGGAAGGGCAGUAAGCUAAUACCUUGCUGUUUUGACGUUACCGACAGAAUAAGCACCGUCUAACUUCGUGCCAGCAGUCGCGGUAAUACAACGGGUGCAAGCGUUAAGCGGAAUUACUGGGCGGAAAGCGGGCGUAAGUGGUUUGAUAAGUUGGAUGUGAAAGCCCCGGGCUCAACCUGGGAAUUGCAUCCAAAACUGGCUGACUAGAGUAUGGCAGAGGGUGGUUGAAUUUCCUGUGUAGCGGUGAAAUGCGUAGAUAUAGGAAGAAAAACCAGUGGCGAAGGCGACCACCUGGGCUAAUGCUGACACUGAGGUGCGAAAGCGUGGGGAGCAAACAGG